CAAACUCAAACCCUGUACCUCCUUCGUUGCCUUGGUUGCUUUAUGCUCCUAAGAUCCCCUGAUGUGCCAUUUCCUUCCGAACGCGGCGUAGGCACCCUCAGCCGAGGGUAGCGGGUCCCACUGGAGAAUCUCCCUCUUUAUCGGGUCAAACAAGGGCGUUCAAGAACUGAAAAAGUUUUUGUUCUGAACGGAGUUUGUUGUACGUGGCUAUGUAUGUCAUCGGCACAAGUCAAAGGGUUUGGGUCUCUUCUCUCAAUUGCUCCCCAAAAAUCUUGCAGAGGAGAACCAUUUUGUUUCAUGCCGUUUGAUUUAACAUGAAGAUCGAAGGUUUGCAAUUUGUCAUUCCCGCUAUACUGUAGGUGAUAACUAACGCGUCCCACAAUGUUUUGGCUGCCGGGAAUUCAGUUAGAACAUGACAUGGUCGUCUUGUUCCCAUUGUUCAUAUUGGUUGUCAGUCGGUUCUGGAGGCUUUGGAUCUCCUGUCUCAAGUGGCUCAAGAGAUGUUUCGAUUUGCAACUCGAAUCAUUCCGGACCACAGGGCAUAGAUAGUUUUGGCUGUUUAAUUUGAGGCUGAUUUUCAAGGAGUCGGAAAGGCUCUGUUUUUGCGAUUGAUUUUGGUUGUUUAUACUACUCUUGAGAAGAUUUGUGAUUUGUAAUGCAACUAUGCAAGAUCAUCAUCGUUCUUGGCAUCACCUGACAUGGAAACUUUCUUCACCUUCUUGAAUGGAGCCACCUGAAAUUCAGUUACACCAUUCAUGUUGAGGAGGUCACAUUAUACAUACGAAUGGAUCAAUUUGGGUUAUGUUUAUCUCAAACUGGUAGAUUAGCUAAAAAAUGAAGUUGUUUGUUUACACAAACCUGACUGGCAACAAACUGAAUGACUUGAUCUUCACUGAGUUGAGAUCCUUCUGCUCUCACCACAUAAGCCAUAGAGAAGAAACUCACGGUAUGACGGCUGCAUCAAGUAUUUGGGGAUGCCCCAAUAGUAUGGCUUCUAGUUCCGCUGGAGCUACCUGCAUUUAUACUUCAUGUCAAUACAUACAUCGCGCGCAAGCAUUUGUAUAUACACAUAUAUAGAGGACCUUCAACACACAACCAAUUUUAAGUA